AUCCCUUGAAUCUUGUGACGACCUGCAUUUUCAGUUGAAAAAUAAAUACAUUACUGCUAUAUUUGGAUAGAAGAAUUUCAAAUGAGGGGAUAUAGGAAUGACUCUAGUUUAAAUUGUUUGAAUGAACGCAAGCAUCUUUUCUAAGUUAUUAGAUUCAUGCACAUGAACAAAAGCAUAUUUCAGGGAGAUAUGAAACCGCACCUUUUUUGAUAAGUAGCUCAAAUCUAA
rnacentral:misc_RNA from 1 species